GAAUGCCAGAUUGCAUUUAGUCAUAAUAAAGAGAUUUAAAAAAUGAAAUCACAUAGAUUCAAAUACAUUUUAUUUGACAAGUCUAAAUCAAACUACAGCUGUGUCUAGGAUAGAUCAGUUCAAAACAGCAUCAGUAGGGGCUACUGAUGCUGUUUUUCAUGGAGAAGCUUACUAUUAGGGCAAUGACAACAUCACACUUAAGGAAAUAAUUUCCACUGGUUGCCCUGAUACUGCGGAGGGCAUUGAAAGUGGAGAAAAAUAAAAACAUCAAGGAAUGGUGUUAUGUUUAGCUUUGCCUUCCAGUGGGUAAGGAUUGGUCACUAAUACAGAAAAGAAGUAUCAGAAAUUGAGGACGGGUCAAGCUGACCCAAAGGAGAGUCUCAAGAUGGAUAGCAGAGCCUUUAACGCCCCAGAGGGCUGGGCUCUCUAAACUGGUUUCCCUGACUACUGGAAGACUCCUAUUCAGUGGGGCUGAAUGGCCAAUUGUUGAACAUUUGGAUAAGUGAUUGAGGAAUGUACUAUGUCUUAAUACAAGGGUGUGCAGUCACUAAGGAGGCACACUCUGUUCAAAGGCCCAUAAGUAAAUUAAAGAUUUUCAUCAUAAAGCCAAUAGAAGUGUUUGAGAAAAAAACACCUUUCAAAGUGAACCUGUAUUACGUUACUGGAAUAUUUUUAAAAAAUCUAUUAACCUCUAAGAGGCCAAGAACAGAAAUUCAGCAAUAAAAGGUAAAUGUAAGUAUGCUUUUAAAAAAAAUAGAUUCAUGGGGGGACAUGUGCUGGUUUGUUAGACAAAUAUAUCGUGUAAGGCUGGGGUUUAGGCUUCUACUGAACCUAUCACCAAAAUAAUGAAGUAGUACCCAGUAGUUUUUCAACCCUUGACCCUUUCCUUCCCCAUUUUGGAGUCUCCAUUGUCUAUUGUUUCCAUUUUCAUGUCUGUUUCUACCCAUUGUUUAGUUACCAUUUAUAAGUGAAAACAUGUGGCAAUUGAUUUUCUGUUUCUGUAUUAAUCCACUUAGAAUAACAGCUUCCAGUUGCAUCCAUGUUGCUGCAAAGGACAUCAUUUCAUUCUUUUUAAUGGCUGCAUAGUAUUCCAUGGUGUAGAUGUACCACAUUUCCUUUAUUUGUCCAC
rnacentral:lncRNA from 1 species